GGGUUGUGAGGUUAAGCGACUAAGCGUACACGGUGGAUGCCCUGGCAGUCAGAGGCGAUGAAGGACGUGCUAAUCUGCGAAAAGCGUCGGUAAGGUGAUAUGAACCGUUAUAACCGGCGAUGUCCGAAUGGGGAAACCCAGUGCAAUUCGUUGCACUAUCGUUAACUGAAUACAUAGGUUAACGAGGCGAACCGGGGGAACUGAAACAUCUAAGUACCCCGAGGAAAAGAAAUCAACCGAGAUUCCCCCAGUAGCGGCGAGCGAACGGGGAGCAGCCCAGAGUCUGAAUCAGCUUGUGUGUUAGUGGAACGGUCUGGAAAGUCCGACGGUACAGGGUGAUAGUCCCGUACACCAAAAUGCACAGGCUGUGAACUCGAAGAGUAGGGCGGGACACGUGGUAUCCUGUCUGAAUAUGGGGGGACCAUCCUCCAAGGCUAAAUACUCCUGACUGACCGAUAGUGAACCAGUACCGUGAGGGAAAGGCGAAAAGAACCCCGGCGAGGGGAGUGAAAAAGAACCUGAAACCGUGUACGUACAAGCAGUGGGAGCACCUUCGGGUGUGACUGCGUACCUUUUGUAUAAUGGGUCAGCGACUUAUAUUCUGUAGCAAGGUUAACCGUAUAGGGAGCCGCAGGGAAACCGAGUCUUAACUGGGCGUUAAGUUGCAGGGUAUAGACCCGAAACCCGGUGAUCUCAGCCAUGGGCAGGUUGAAGGUUGGGUAACACUAACUGGAGGACCGAACCGACUAAUGUUGAAAAAUUAGCGGAUGACUUGUGGCUGGGGGUGAAAGGCCAAUCAAACCGGGAGAUAGCUGGUUCUCCCCGAAAGCUAUUUAGGUAGCGCCUCGUGAAUUCAUCUUCGGGGGUAGAGCACUGUUUCGGCUAGGGGGUCAUCCCGACUUACCAACCCGAUGCAAACUACGAAUACCGAAGAAUGUUAUCACGGGAGACACACGGCGGGUGCUAACGUCCGUCGUGAAGAGGGAAACAACCCAGACCGCCAGCUAAGGUCCCAAAGUCAUGGUUAAGUGGGAAACGAUGUGGGAAGGCACAGACAGCCGUGAUGUUGGCUUAGAAGCAGCCAUCAUUUAAAGAAAGCGUAAUAGCUCACUGGUCGAGUCGGCCUGCGCGGAAGAUGUAACGGGGCUAAACCAUGCACCGAAGCUGCGGCAGCGACACUAUGUGUUGUUGGGUAGGGGAGCGUUCUGUAAGCCUGCGAAGGUGUGCUGUGAGGCAUGCUGGAGGUAUCAGAAGUGCGAAUGCUGACAUAAGUAACGAUAAAGCGGGUGAAAAGCCCGCUCGCCGGAAGACCAAGGGUUCCUGUCCAACGUUAAUCGGGGCAGGGUGAGUCGACCCCUAAGGCGAGGCCGAAAGGCGUAGUCGAUGGGAAACAGGUUAAUAUUCCUGUACUUGGUGUUACUGCGAAGGGGGGACGGAGAAGGCUAUGUUAGCCGGGCGACGGUUGUCCCGGUUUAAGCAUGUAGGCUGAUUAUCCGUGCAAAUCCGGAUAAUCAAGGCUGAGGUGUGAUGACGAGGCACUACGGUGCUGAAGUAACAAAUGCCCUGCUUCCAGGAAAAGCCUCUAAGCAUCAGGUAACAUCAAAUCGUACCCCAAACCGACACAGGUGGUCAGGUAGAGAAUACCAAGGCGCUUGAGAGAACUCGGGUGAAGGAACUAGGCAAAAUGGUGCCGUAACUUCGGGAGAAGGCACGCUGGUGUGUAGGUGAAGCCCCUGCGGGUGGAGCUGAGACCAGUCGAAGAUACCAGCUGGCUGCAACUGUUUAUUAAAAACACAGCACUGUGCAAACACGAAAGUGGACGUAUACGGUGUGACGCCUGCCCGGUGCCGGAAGGUUAAUUGAUGGGGUUAUCCGUAAGGAGAAGCUCUUGAUCGAAGCCCCGGUAAACGGCGGCCGUAACUAUAACGGUCCUAAGGUAGCGAAAUUCCUUGUCGGGUAAGUUCCGACCUGCACGAAUGGCGUAAUGAUGGCCGGGCUGUCUCCACCCGAGACUCAGUGAAAUUGAACUCGCUGUGAAGAUGCAGUGUACCCGCGGCAAGACGGAAAGACCCCGUGAACCUUUACUAUAGCUUGACACUGAACAUUGAGCCUUGAUGUGUAGGAUAGGUGGGAGGCUUUGAAGCGUGGACGCCAGUCUGCGUGGAGCCAACCUUGAAAUACCACCCUUUAAUGUUUGAUGUUCUAACGUUGGCCCCUGACCGGGGUUGCGGACAGUGUCUGGUGGGUAGUUUGACUGGGGCGGUCUCCUCCCAAAGCGUAACGGAGGAGCACGAAGGUUAGCUAAUCCCUGGUCGGACAUCAGGAGGUUAGUGCAAUGGCAUAAGCUAGCUUGACUGCGAGCGUGACGGCGCGAGCAGGUGCGAAAGCAGGUCAUAGUGAUCCGGUGGUUCUGAAUGGAAGGGCCAUCGCUCAACGGAUAAAAGGUACUCCGGGGAUAACAGGCUGAUACCGCCCAAGAGUUCAUAUCGACGGCGGUGUUUGGCACCUCGAUGUCGGCUCAUCACAUCCUGGGGCUGAAGUAGGUCCCAAGGGUAUGGCUGUUCGCCAUUUAAAGUGGUACGCGAGCUGGGUUUAGAACGUCGUGAGACAGUUCGGUCCCUAUCUGCCGUGGGCGCUGGAGAAUUGAGGGGGGCUGCUCCUAGUACGAGAGGACCGGAGUGGACGCAUCACUGGUGUUCGGGUUGUCAUGCCAAUGGCACUGCCCGGUAGCUAAAUGCGGAAGAGAUAAGUGCUGAAAGCAUCUAAGCACGAAACUUGCCCCGAGAUGAGUUCUCCCUGAGACUUUAAGUCUCCUGAAGGAACGUUGAAGACGACGACGUUGAUAGGCCGGGUGUGUAAGCGCAGCGAUGCGUUGAGCUAACCGGUACUAAUGAACCGUGAGGCUUAACCUUACAACGCCGAAG
rnacentral:rRNA from 1 species